GGUAGCUCAGUCGGUAGAGCAUCUGACUUUUAAUCAGAGGGUCAAGGGUUCGAAUCCCUUCCG
rnacentral:tRNA from 1 species